UACGUAGUGGCGAGCGUUAUCCGGAAUUAUUGGGUCGUAAAGAGCGCGCUAGGUGGUUGAUUAAGUCUUGAUGUGAAAGCCCACGGCUUAACCGUGGAGGGUCAUUGGGAAACUGGUCGACUUUGAGUGCAGAAGAGGGAAGUGGAAUUCCAUGUGUAAGCGGUGAAAUGCGUAGAGAUAUGGAGGAACACCAGUGGCGAAGGCGGCUUCCUGGUCUGUAACUGACACUGAGGCGCGAAAGCGUGGGGAGCAAACAGGAUUAGAUA
rnacentral:rRNA from 1 species